rnacentral:rRNA from 1 species
AUUGAACGCUGGCGGCAUGCCUUACACAUGCAAGUCGAACGGCAGCACGGGUGCUUGCACCUGGUGGCGAGUGGCGAACGGGUGAGUAAUACAUCGGAACAUGUCCUGUAGUGGGGGAUAGCCCGGCGAAAGCCGGAUUAAUACCGCAGACGAUCUACGGAUGAAAGCGGGGGACCUUCGGGCCUCGCGCUAUAGGGUUGGCCGAUGGCUGAUUAGCUAGUUGGUGGGGUAAAGGCCUACCAAGGCGACGAUCAGUAGCUGGUCUGAGAGGACGACCAGCCACACUGGGACUGAGACACGGCCCAGACUCCUACGGGAGGCAGCAGUGGGGAAUUUUGGACAAUGGGCGAAAGCCUGAUCCAGCAAUGCCGCGUGUGUGAAGAAGGCCUUCGGGUUGUAAAGCACUUUUGUCCGGAAAGAAAUCCUUGGCCCUAAUACGGUCGGGGGAUGACGGUACCGGAAGAAUAAGCACCGGCUAACUACGUG